UCCACUCUGGGGUAGGGCCUUCAGUUUUGCCCCUUUGAAAUUUCAAAUUCCAGUUUGUGGACAAAGUCCUAACUAUCUCACAAUAUAGGUCCCCAACCACUGACCAAACUCCAGUUCAGGCAGCCACCUAGCUCAAGGCUGGCCUGGCCUUGCUGCUUGCUGUGGCAGCUCUCAGGACCAGGUAGGGGUCUUGAGUCCAAGACCAAGGAGGGGGUCUGCUUGGCCCUCCCUACAGCCUUCCUCCCCCCAGCCCCGGACCUCUGUCUUCCAUCUGAGAGGGCACCCCUCUUCCUGGAGCUGGGAUCUGAAGCCUGCUGGUACUGACCGUGGACACCAGAGAGGACGAUGACGAGCACUUUGGGAGCCUUCGUGUGCAGGCCUGGUGUAGGGGAGCUCUUUCAUGUCACACCAGCAUGCGAGCCAGGCCCAUCUCCUACCCUCAUUUACAGAUGAGGAGACUGAGGCUGCAGAGGCAAAGAGAUCGAGAAGCCUGAUGGUUUUCACCUGGGGAUACUCCGAAGGACGAAGGGCUCCAGGGUAGAGACUCAGCACCUCCCACAUGCCUAACCCAGGCUCCUCCAUGGCGUCGUCCCUGGGAUUGCCUUCUGGGGCUAUUCCUGGAAAACAGCUGCCCAGCCAGCGACUGCAUUGCCCUAGACUCCUUUGCAUCUGGCCAGGGCCAUGUGACCAAUUCUCACCAAUGAGAUGUGAGUAGAAGUGGUCCUGUUGUUAUCUCGACUCUGCAGAUGAGGAAAUAGGUUCGGAGAGGGGUGGUGUCCAGCCGAGGGUCACAGAGCUGCUCUGGGAUGGCUCUCCAGGUUGUUUGGUUCUUCAGCCUCUGCGAUUUCCACCACGGCACAGUCUCCUGCUUCAAGCCGAGAAGAUCUCCAGACUAGAAUCAGGAGACAGUCACCCGCCGGCUGUCUGUCCUCAGCUCACGAUGACACAGUGAGAUUUAGUGAGUCCUCGCUGUGCACGUGCAAGGGUUUCCAUCCUUGCUCCCCUUUAGCCACCCAGACCACCCUAAGAUGCGUCAUGAUUCGGUCUCCACUUUAGAGAGAGAAAGCAACGGAGACCCAAAACAUUAAAUAAUUUGACCAAAGUUGCGAGACGAGAAUCAAGAUCUACCGGAGCCCAGUGGACAAGCAGGGUGGAUGUGUGUGAUUUAAAUGGAUUUGUAAAAUGUACCUCAUUUUAAAAACACCCUAAAUGUGCCCCCUUCCCCCCGAAAAUAAAACAACAAAUACUCUCUUGCAUCUCCCUCCUUGGAAACA